rnacentral:rRNA from 1 species
CGUACACUCCUGCGGGAGGCAGCAGUGGGGAAUAUUGGACAAUGGGCGCAAGCCUGAUCCAGCCAUGGCGCGUGAGUGAUGAAGGCCCUAGGGUUGUAAAGCUCUUUCACCGGUGAAGAUAAUGACGGUAACCGGAGAAGAAGCCCCGGCUAACUUCGUGCCAGCAGCCGCGGUAAUACGAAGGGGGCUAGCGUUGUUCGGAUUUACUGGGCGUAAAGCGCACGUAGGCGGACUAUUAAGUCAGGGGUGAAAUCCCGGGGCUCAACCCCGGAACUGCCUUUGAUACUGGUAGUCUUGAGUUCGAGAGAGGUGAGUGGAAUUCCGGGUGUAGAGGUGAAAUUCGUAGAUAUUCGGAGGAACACCAGUGGCGAAGGCGGCUCACUGGCUCGAUACUGACGCUGAGGUGCGAAAGCGUGGGGAGCAAACAGGAUUAGAAACCCUGGUAGUCCCAUG